GCGUGACAACUUUUAUGGUAUCAGAGCAUAAUUGGAUAAAUUAUGAGAUAAGAAAAUCUGACAUGACAUGAGUGUAGAUGGGUAGACACUAGGAACAUUGGGACGUUAGUUUAUGAUGAUUGUAGUAACCAUUCUAUGUACUUGUAAUGAACUGGUAAGCUUAUUAUUGGCAUGCUGCUAUCUGAUAGACAUAGGUCAGGAUGCCUCCACGUCGGACGAGAAAAA
rnacentral:lncRNA from 1 species